CCUCAUCGCUGUUGGAGGUCUGGUGGCAAAUUCCUUCCUCCCUGCACCUGCACUUCACCUCCUCUAGCCCCAGUUCCCUACAUCAUGAGAGGAGAUGGGUGGAGAAUGAAGCAGAGGCUACGUAUCCAGUAUCCUCCAUCUCUGGUCCCCUUUGUGUGCGCUUGCAGAUUCUUUUUAUCGAUGCCUACAAGGUGCUCGAUGAAAAUCCAGGUAAAAUGUGUCUCCUUUAAUUCCCGGUAUGGGUUACUUAAAUUAAUUCAGUAUCAAAGAUGCUUGGAGCGGUGAGGAACUUGACUGCUUCAAGGUAAAUAGAAUUUCGGUAAAUUCAUCUUGAGCUAUUUUCCUUGAAUGGUAUAAUGCAACAAUGUUUGAUUCUGAUCUCAGCAUUACUUUUCAGUUGCCUACAAUAUUGUUGGAUUCCUUUCUCACAUCAAAAUAUAUGUACAUGUCACCCUUUUAAAUCAAUCCACAGUGU